rnacentral:rRNA from 1 species
GAUGAACGCUGGCGGCGUGCCUAAUACAUGCAAGUCGAGCGAACGGACGAGAAGCUUGCUUCUCUGAUGAUAGCGGCGGACGGGUGGGUAACACGUGGAUAACCUACCUAUAAGACUGGGAUAACUUCGGGAAACCGUAGCUAAUACCGGAUAAUAUUUUGAACCGCAUGGUUCAAAAGUGAAAGACGGUCUUGCUGUCACUUAUAGAUGGAUCCGCGCUGCAUUAGCUAGUUGGUAAGGUAACGGCUUACCAAGGCAACGAUGCAUAGCCGACCUGAGAGGGUGAUCGGCCACACUGGAACUGAGACACGGUCCAGACUCCUACGGGAGGCAGCAGUAGGGAAUCUUCCGCAAUGGGCGAAAGCCUGACGGAGCAACGACGCGUGAGUGAUGAAGGUCUUCGGAUCGUAAAACUCUGUUAUUAGGGAAGAACAUAUGUGUAAGUAACUGUGCACAUCUUGACGGUACCUAAUCAGAAAGCCACGGCUAACUACGUG